GGCUCUUUCAGUUCUGCAAAUGAAAGGUUAUUUCAUCAUCCAUCUCGUAACACUAUUACCAGCUAUUGCCAAUAAAAUGAUGAAAUUAUCAACGAAUAAUCAAUUAACUAAGAUCAAUUACGAAAGCUCUUAUAAAAGUGUAAAAAGAAGAUCAAGGGGAGACAAGUGAGGAGACUCGUGUGAACCGGAUCUUAUAGUGGUGGCAGCUGUCGAGGGAACACGUCGACAACUUCUCUCCUCUCACACAGUAAGCUUGCAUAAAAAGCUCACUGGAGGUUAGGAUUUCAGGCAUGACCAAAGUAUCCUGGCGCCUGGUUCGAUGAUUUACUUGCAGGAGGCGGUCUCCAGGCGAAAAGCAGUCGAGAAAGGGGAUGUUGGGAUCGCUAGGGAAGGAGCGUAUGAACGACUUCCUUAUUAUUUCGUGGUUAAAUAAAUUGCUGUUUGCUUCUUUUGCGGCAUAUUUUCGUAGAUUAAGGUGGAUCUUCGUGAAACUGGUGUACAGGAAGCUUUCAAGGCAGCUGCACUAUUGUUCGAACGCAAGGAACACGGGACGCCACGAAGAUUUCUUGAAGUCACUAAAAAUCUGUGACUUUGAGUGAAAAAGAUGAAAUUAGAACAUAAAAAUAAUAUUUAAUCUAGAUGCAUUUCAGUUAUAUUAGAAAUUAGGAAUUAUUUAUGUUGGAGAGAGGAAAAUGUUGCAAAUUACUUAUAUUGAAAGUUUGAAAUUAUUCAUAUUAAAAAAUUAGACAUUACUUACGUUAAAAAUUGAAAACUUUUAUUACCAGUAAGAUAAGUAUUAAAAUAAAAUGGUACCCGAUUACGCAAAACUAGAAAGAUAAAAAUACAAGAUGUAUUUGUUUCACUUAGAAAUAUGAGGUACAUACACAUUCAGAUAUUUUUAAGUAGCUAGUAUAUAUAGUUACCGAAUUUAUAGAUAGAUAACGUUUAAAAACGCAGUAGUCAGACGCCCACAGUAUUUACAGAAUUUAAUGGUUAUUAUGACCAUAUACCAUUUGCAAUUAAUAACAUGAAUCGAUUGAGACCUGUAAAGUUAGAAUUGAUUAAAGUUAAGGCAUUUUUAAAUUACAGGAAUUCGAAUAAACAUAUAUAAAUAAACAUAUGCAUAUACACAUAUACAUGCAUACGUUAAGACCAAACACAAUACUCUCCUCCUAAUGUAGUCAGUAAAAAUUAGAAAUCUAGUGAGCUUAACUGCCAACGCUCAAAAUUAAGAAAUGGCGGCCAACCUAAUCUCAAACUUAUUUAAUUUCAAAACCAAAUUACUUUACAUUUCCUAAAAAAAAAUAGAAAAUUGGUUAAAAAAUAAAGAAUUGUUAGUUCAGGCUUCUCUUAAAUUAUUUAAAUUAAUUAUAUUAAUUCCUCAAAUCAUCAUAAUUCGAAUAUUCUUCGUUUAUUAUCCUAGUUGAUAUUCAUUCAUCUACGUUCGAAUUCCGAGUACACGGCUCCAGAGGCAGAAACGAGUAAACGUAGAAUCGGUACGAAAGUAAAAGACGGCUUCACAGGAUGCAUCCUUCCUCCCGACCGCACUCAAACAAGGGAGCAUUGAAAGAAAAUUCUAACUGUUUACCAUCCCGGUAAACUGCCACUGCUCCCAUUCCCUUUCUUCCUUUUCGAUCGACAAACCGUUGAAUGGUUCUUUAAACAAUUCUCGAAGAUGCUACAUACACAUACACAUAUGUAUGUCGAUCGAAUUUUAAUCGUAACCCAUCAGGUGUAUCGAUAAUCGAUAAUACUCGAUAAUACUCUAUAAAAUAUUUAAUAUUAUUCCAAUGAACUUUAUUCUGCAGAACACCAAAUUUGUGAUUUUUUUAAAUAACUUAUGCUAAUUUUUAAUAAUCUUCGCGCUUUAAAACGUUUGAUUUAGCUUGUCAAAAACCAUCACAUCAAACUCAAAAGAAGUUACAAAUUCGUUGUGCCCCAAAACGAAAUUCAGCCAAAUAUUCUUCAAAUCGUAAAUCGUAGCUGUAAUUAAAAAUACGAUAUUAAAAUUAAAAAAUUAUUUCAAAAAGGAUAUUUGGAUUCGAGAAAUUCGAUGUUUUUGAAUAUUUGAAAACUAAUAAUGAAAUAUAAAUAUUUCUUUCAAAUUUCUCUGGUAUACUGCAUUUUUCUGCGUGUUCGAUAUUGUGACUACAUAAGUCAAAUAAGACAUGUAAUUGUAUUAGCAUCGUUGUGAUAUGCUUAACAUACAUAAAAAAUUCGAUGACGAUUUCCUUAUUUAUUAUAGUAUAUUAUAUGUCUGUAUAUAAAAAGGAAAUAGAUGAUACAAAGCGCAAAUUGUGCGACGAAAAAUUGACCAGAAAAUUGUAUCACGACGACAUCUUAAGUGUCAAUCUUAAACUAUAACCACAAUUUUUCGCUUAAUAUAAGGUAGCUAUAUUUUCUAAUUAUAUAUUAUUUACACGUUGAGUAAUGAAAUAAAAGUAGUUUUUCAUGUAUACGAGUGAAUAGAAGGUAUGUAACUAAUAUACAUUUGUAAAUUUUAUGUGGAGGCAGAAAAUGAUAACGAACGUCAAUAACAAGUGAAAAUACAACUUACUUCAGAUUUUGUUUUACAACUAAAAGUGAAUGAUUUCCUCUUCUAUCCAUAAUUGAACAAAAUUAAUCCAAUUGGAAGAGAAAACGAUCAUUUCUUUAUAAAAAUACUCAUUAGAACGUAAAAGUUGCUUUUAAACACAUUGCGCUUCAAGAUGGUGCGAGGACAUGACGAAAAAGAGCGCGAAGGUUUCAUUUUCAAAUUCUGUUCGUAUUUCAAAUUCGCGUGCAUAAUUUUCAGUGCUAAUAAAUUAUUCUGGGUGUAUUACACUGGUUGUUCACUAAAUUUGUUGUCAAAAUAUUGAAAUUGAAUACUUGAAUUCUUAAAAUUAAGUAAAUUAAUCAGCUUGUACAUUAAAUAUUUAGAAAUUUUAAAUAAUUUCCUUUUUCUUUUCUGUUUUUUUUUUUUU